rnacentral:rRNA from 1 species
AGAGUUUGAUCCUGGCUCAGGAUUAACGCUGGCGGCAUGCCUAAUACAUGCAAGUCGAACGAGAGUAGCAAUACUCUAGUGGCGAACGGGUGAGUAACACGUAGGAAACCUACCUCAAAGACGAGGAUAACUACUGGAAACGGUAGCUAAAACUGGAUAGGAUAUACAAAGGCAUCUUAGUAUAUUUAAAAGUCCUUCUGGGAAUGCUAUGAGAUGGUCCUGCGGCGCAUUAGCUAGUUGGUGAGGUAAAGGCCCACCAAGGCGACGAUGCGUAGCUGUGCUGAGAGGCAAAACAGCCACACUGGGACUGAGACACGGCCCAGACUCCUACGGGAGGCAGCAGUAGGGAAUUUUCGGCAAUGGGCGAAAGCCUGACCGAGCAAUGCCGCGUGAAUGAAGAAAUUCUUCGGAAUGUAAAAUUCUGUGGUGAGGGAAGAAAGGUAUUAGAAGGAAAUGGCUAAUAUUUGACGGUACCUUACUAGAAAGCCCCGGCUAACUAUGUGCCAGCAGCCGCGGUAAUACAUAGGGGGCAAGCGUUAUCCGGAAUUAUUGGGCGUAAAGCGUGCGUAGGCGGCCACUUAAGUCUGUCGUGAAAGCCCACAGCUUAACUGUGGAGGGUCGAUGGAAACUGAGAGGCUUGAAUCUAGGAGAGGUAAGUGGAAUUCCAUGUGUAGCGGUAAAAUGCUUAGAUAUAUGGAGGAACACCAGUGGCGAAGGCGGCUUACUGGUCUAGAAUUGACGCUGAUGCACGAAAGCGUGGGUAGCAAACAGGAUUAGAUACCCUGGUAGUCCACGCCGUAAACGAUGAGCACUAAGUGUCGGACGUAAGUUCGGUGCUGAAGUUAACGCAUUAAGUGCUCCGCCUGGGGAGUACGGUCGCAAGACUGAAACUCAAAGGAAUUGACGGGGACUCGCACAAGCGGUGGAGCAUGUGGUUUAAUUCGACGCAACGCGAAAAACCUUACCAGGCCUUGACAUACCGAUGACGUCUUUAGAGAUAGAGAGUUACCUUCGGGUACAUCGGAGACAGGUGGUGCAUGGUUGUCGUCAGCUCGUGUCGUGAGAUGUUGGGUUAAGUCCCGCAACGAGCGCAACCCUUAUCAUUAGUUGCUAACAGUCAGAUGAGCACUCUAAUGAGACUGCCAGCGAAAAGU